GGCAGCAGGAGCACAUAUGGUCCGAAAGAGACGAUUAAAGGAAGCUCCAAGCCCUGUGUUGCUGACAAGUGAUAACUGGCUUCUUUAGCUCAGAUCUGGAGGGUGCUCGUGAUUAGACUGGACACUAUCUAAGGUUCCUAGCUUCCCAAGUCAUCCCCUUUGCAUUCAGUUGCCCUGCAGGGCUUCACUCUUGGGAAUCACAUUGGGUUCUUUUGUGUUUCCUUGUUCCCUGCUAGUUUGUAUUGGCCUGACCCACUUCUCUGGAAGUGCAUCUUUUAUUUCCAGUUGGAGGCUGGAUUUCAACCUCCAGAUUUUCCAUAUCCACCUUGAUGAAUGCCAGGAAGAGUUCUAGCAUUGCACAUCUUACAGAUCUUGAACUCCAGAACCCACUAGAAAAUUUUUGAUCAUGGAACCCAUUUUUCAAGCGGUAAGAAUUUCCUUUCAAAGUUGCAUUUUCAUAGUUUUUCAAAAACCAAGUAUUAGAAAAUUGCAUUUGUCCUUCUAGCAUCCAGGUGAGUGACAUUACCCCUGCUAUACUGGGGAAGGAUUUUGGUAUAUAACAAGCCGCAGUAUAGGACUAGAAAAAUCUGAAGCUCUUGGACAUUUUGAGCAAGCAUACUGGAAUCUAAAAUACUUUUCCAUUUAUAUCCAGAGCUGGCCUUAAAAAGGUCUGUUGCUGCAUUUUAGGAUCAUGAAAUAUUUUUUCUGAUUCCUAUUACAGCAAGCCUGCCUGCCAGCAAGGGUCUUUCAACUAAGACUACUUUAUCAGCUUGCAGGUUGUAAAUGUCAAGCCAUAUUGCAGGGUACUUUCUGUUUUGCCUAGCUGACUAAGUUCAGUGGAGAAGGGUUGCCUCUGAAAACCAGUUCCUGGGAAUUGCAGCUAGGCAGAGUGCUGCUGCGUUUAUGUCCUGUUUUAGCUUCCAGGCUUCCCACAGACAUCUGGUUGGCCAUUGAUAAUAGGAUGCUGGACUAGAUCGGCCAUGGGCCUGAUCCAGCAGGCUCAUCUUACAUUCUUAAGGGUUGUAGCUUCCUGGAAAAGUGCAUUCUAUGUUUGCAGACGGUUCCAGACUGAAUCACCAACAUUACCAGUAACUGGGAAAGAGACAGAUCUCAGAUCUGAUGUUUUAGCAAAUUUCUCCUGCCGGUCACAAUUAACAAUAUUGGGCUAGAUGAACCUAUGAUCUGAUCCAGGAUAAGUGUCAAGAGCUGGAGUCAGGGGAAGAUCAGCAAUAAAACACCUGGUGUCAGUGAAGUUAAACCAAAACAUCACAGGCCUAGUGAUCACAGCAGCUCUUCCCGGUAGUUCUUUCCCCAAUGAAGUUGCGAGAGCUGAUUCUUGACUGUUCUCUGCCACAGCCUCUUGCUGCUCACUAAACCCUGUUGCCACUUUAGCUUUUGACACCUCCUCCUCCCUCUUCUCCCUCUGGCCACUCAUCGUUGUCCCACCACCAAUCCCCUGGCUCUGAGCCUUCUUCUUCUGGGGAUUUUCUGGGGAUUUCCCAGCUGAUGCCACCCACCGCUCUGCUGCAUCCGGCCAGUCCAUGAUAAUAAGGCAGUUUUGACUGUUCAGUGGGGCAAAAUGUUUCCCAUCAGGAUUUUACCUGGACCUAAGUGUGCAAUGCUUUUCCAAGUCUAGAUGGUGAUGGUACGAUGUGAGCUGAACCAAGACUCAGCUCCAGAAUCCUUGAGCAUGUCUCUGAGCAUGAGCAGUUAAUUUUUCUCACUAGUGACCAGACUAAUGACAGGGAGCAGCUACCAGUAUGUUUCUGAGCACAAUUCAAAGUGUUGGUGCUGACUUUUAAUGCCCUAAGCUGAGAAAAGUGAGGCUACAGGGAACCAGGCAGAGGGCCUUCUUGGUAGUUGUGCCUGCCCCAUGGAACGCCCUCCCAUCAGAUGUCAGGAAAUAAACAACUACAGUAGUACCUCGGGUUAAGUACUUAAUUCGUUCUGGAGGUCCGCUCUUAACCUGAAACUGUUCUUAACCUGAAGCACCACUUUAGCUAAUGGGGCCUCCUGCUGCUGUCGUGCUACCGGAGCACAAUUUCUGUUCUUAUCCUGAAGCAAAGUUCUUAACCUGAAGAAUCUGUAACCUGAAGCGUAUGUAACCCGAGGUACCACUGUAUCUGGUCAGGAAAGUUUUUUAAUGUUUGAUGUCUUACUGUGUUUUAAUUUGUUAGAAGCCACACAGAUUGGCUGGGGGAAUCCAGUCAUAUGGGUGGCAUGUAGUUGUUAUUGUUGUUGUUGUUGCUGCUGCUGCUGCUGCUGUUGUUGUUACACAGCUCUUUUUGACAAUAGGCCAAUGGCGGCCAUGCAUUUGACAUACAUGUGGCAUUAGUGCAAGGACGGGGAGCUUGUGGCCCUCCAGAUGCUGCUGGACUCCAUUCUUGUGUCUUAGCUCCCAUGUACCACUCAGUGGUUAGGGCCUCUCCCCCACCCAUGGAAAGUGGCCGAGUGUAAUUAUGCAGAAAGCUCCAUUGGAGCUAUAUCAAUAAGACAGACGUCUGUUGUAUCAUUCUCUCUCAGUAAGGCAUUUCUUCUCCCCAAUUGCUCAUAUAGAAUCAUAGCCUAAUAGCAUCCCAUUAACAUAAUUGCCAACACAACUAGUGUUCCGUGUCUCAGAGCCAUUUACUUACUUUACGAUUAAAAAAAACACCCCACGUACCAAAACCAGCCUGGAAAUCACACCAAGGAGGUGCACAGGGAGGAUACUUUGGCUGCUUGCCCCCCUUUUGGUGCCAUUUUGUUGUUUGAGACCCGGGUGUUGAAGGAUAAACACGGGAGAGGUGGGCUCAGCUGCAGGACGUGGGAUGCCGAGUAGUCGGACCAGACUCGUGAGCAGACGUGUGCUAAGAUCUAAACGGAUUCUGCCAGGCGAAAUGAAAUUCCCAUUAUUUUUAAUUAAUCCUUAAUUAAAAUAUAUUACUCCGCAGAUUCCGCAAAUCUCUCUUAAUAUGCAAAUGCAGCCCAUUCAAGGAUAUUUACAUAUCAUUAAUUAAAACGGCACAUUCUUUCAGUCUAACAAGCUGAGGGCCUUGGCUGCUGCCAUGCUGGCACACGGCAACUGGCCCUGGCAGUGCCAAGGCCAAACAGCAGAAAGAUGUUCAGUGUCAGCCACUCCACAAGGGGUUACAGCACUGCCCGUUCACCUCUAGAACCCUGGUUGCAUGCCCUGCCUUGGUUCAAGUGCUGUGUUCCCCCGUCAUGAGGCCAAGUGUGCCCUCCACAACAUGCAGCAACUGCAAGGUGCCCAAUUCAUUAUCUGUGGCAGCCUUCCCGUGACCUUGUACAAACAGCAGUUGCUAGGUUUGUCCAUGGUCUUUUUGGGGAGGAGCAUAAAUUAUAGGCUGUUUUAUGAAGUUAAAGGUAACCCUGAACUGAGCACCCUAAAGUGACCCUACACAUUAUAGAAGUGACCCUGAUUAAGAAAGUGGCUGACUUGGAUUUCAAAAGAUUGUCGUGCUUCACCUUUCCCUCAAGUAGUUUACCUGGGCCAUUUUUUUCUUGAGCCAGAGACUCAGGAGGAACAUCAUUUCUGAGAGCAAUCCUACAGGUGGAAAGUUGUGGCUGGUGGUUUCAUUUCCUAGUUUCACCCACCUGCUGCAGCUUGUCUCAGUGUGGUGAUGUCCAAGCAGACUCCAGAUAGAUUGGGGAGCAGAAGAGCCUGAGGGAGAGAGACAUGAUGGGGAUGGAGGUGCACAGCCUGAUGUACAUCAUUAACUUUGGUGAAGCGGAAAAUGAGUGGAUUUCCUCCCAUCCCCAAGCACCAUAUUUGAAAGUGUACAGAGGGGAAGGGAAGAGGCACUUGGUGUCUUCUCAGAAGUGACAAAAUAUAAUCUGCACUUCCGACUUUCAUAGUUUUGGGCAGCAUGAAAAAUGUGAAUUUGAAAAAUUCCUUACUAGCUUUUCAGCGAGCAGGUUAAUUUCAGAGAGCGUUUAUUUGAAGUUGAUGGAAAUUUAAAUCUGGAUAUUAAUUCUUGACUCUCAUUCUUGCCUUCGGUGAUGUGGGUAUGAAAAGAGUUGCUUUUUAUUCUUGCUUGCAGCUUACUAUUAUUCAGUUUUGCUUUUUGUGAAUUGCUCAAGAGUGUUGCUAUGGAACAAUAUAAAACCUAAUAACAGAACUGAUAAAUAACAACACUCCAUAAUGCAUGACAAGCUGGAUGAUGACUAGAGUGCAAUAAGUGGCAGAAGCAUUGCACCAAAACUGACCAAACGCUGGCCAGUGCUUAUCAUAGAGCCUUCUAGGUGGCAGUGUGGGCUGCAAAGAAAGCUCAUUUUGCACUGCAUCCUUGAGGAGCCGGUGGGCAGAACUAUUUUGGAUGGCCUGGAGGUUACGAACUCUCAUUGUAAGGGAAGGAUCUCUAGAACAAACUAUAUUGAUUGUCCCAUUGAUUGGGCUAAGUGGAAACAGGACCCCCUUUUAAUGAAACAGGGGAAAAAAUGCUGGCAGCACAAACACACACACACACACACACACACACACACACACACACACAGCAGUCUUUGGGUGAGCAUGGCAAAAAUGCUGACCUUCUUAAAGGUAACUUAAUAGGGGAAGUUUGCUCAUGGAGAACCUCAGUCUUCUCAGUUUUUGUUCAGCAUAGAUGCACAUACUUUCCUGGAACGGACUGAGAAUAUAUAUAUAUAUAUAUAUAUGAGAGAAACAGAGAGAGGGGAAUCAUAGAAUUGUAGAGUUGGAAGAGACCCAAAGGGUCAUUUAGUCCAAACCCCCUGCAAUGCAGGAAUCUCAGCUAAAGCAUCCAGGACAGAUGGCUACCCAACCUCUGCUUAAAAACCUCAAGGAAGGAGAGUCCACCACCUUCCAAGACAGUAUGUUCCACUGUCAAACAGCUCCUAUCAUCAGAAAGCUAUUCCUGAUCUUUAAUCAGAAUCUCCUUUCUUGUAACUUGAAGCCAUUAAUUUGAGUCCUACCCUCCAGAGCAGGAGAAAACAAUCUUGUUACAUCUUCCAUGUGACAGCCCUUUAGAUAUUUGAAGAUGGCUAUCUUAUCUCCCCUUAGUCUCCUCUUUUCCAGGCUAAACAUCCCCAGCUCCCUCAGCCAUUCCUCAUCAGGCUUGGUUUCCAGAUCCUUGAUCAUCUUGGUUGCCCUCCUGGUGCCCAGAACUGGCCACAGUACUCCAGGUAUGGUUAUGACCAAGGCAGAAUAGAGUGGUACUAUUUGAAUCAAACAAAACACAAUUUAUUGUGUACCAGUAGCUUUGCUUCUGGCGUUGCUUCGGAAUUCUAGCAAACCAAAAAAUCUGUGGUUAAAAUGAGUGCAGUUCAGUCUGCCAUCUUUAUUCUCAGCGGCAUCCAAAGAUGAAAAACUGCUUCUCCAUCUCAGGAACCAUAAUGCAAAAUUUGGUUACGAUAUCUUAAGAGGUUUCCAAAUGCAAAACAAACAUACAAACAACUUUCCAAAAUACAUAGUAAGUUGAAUGGAUGCAGAGAUACAUUCAUAUUAAAAAGUGUCUUUGAGCCAAGGAGUCCCUGGUUGAAAUGUUGCCUCAGCCAUGAACUCAUUUAGAUAAGGUUCAAGAGUUUAGUGACAUAAGCAAAUUGGAAAGGGGAACCUUCGCUCAUCACUGGAAUGUUUCACUCGCCUGUCUCAGUUAUACACUGCAGUUGCCAGACACUCCCGCAACUCACAUUGCCAGGCUUCCCUGGGUUCUCUCACACCCCAUUUGAUCCCCUCCCGAUCAGAGAGGCACCACUCUUUAGCUCCCGGACUCUGAUGCUGUGUCUCAAGGUCUGAGCCUUAGGGGAUCUUGCAAGCUUCCCUCCAAUUCCCCCCUAGAAGUAGCAUGGAGAGGGAGAGAGGUUGAAGUAAGCAAGGCUACUGGUAAAAUAUGGUGAUGGGAUAGUAUGAGAGAAGAGAGGAUCAUGCAAAAGUAUGCAGGAAAGGAUUUGAAUUAUUUCACAGGUAUGAGGAGCUGUAUACAUCUGACAAGCAAAGGAUUCCCAGCUUGCAUCUGCCAAAAUUCAUUUGCUACUAUUUAACAUUUAAUGUUAAAUUGUACUAUUCAAUGGCCCCUUAUCCUGGAAAGAAGUGAAGUGUCACAGGUUUCUGUCCUGGGCCCAUUGUUUGUCAACAUGUUUAUAAUGACUUGAAUGAAGGAAUUGAGGGGAUCCUCGUCAAAUUUGCAGAUGACACCAAACCAGGAGGUGUACCUAAUGCCACAGAAGGCAGAAUUGGGAUUCAAGAUGACCUUAGCAGAUUGGAGAACUGGGCCCAAAUGAACAAAAUGAAUUUUAAUAGUGACAAAUGUAAGGCUCUACACUUGGGCAGGAAGAACCAGCUGCACAAAUGUAAGAUGGUGGACACAUGGCUUGGGUCACAGUAGACCACAAGCUUCAAAUGAGUCAACAGUGUGACACAGC